UCCUUUUUCCUGCUUUUGUACAGUCUUCCCAUAUUCAAUAACAAUUUUCUGUCCUAUUAGCUCACUUGCAACUCCCUCGUCUAGAGAGAUAGCUCCACAGUUAAACUCUCAUCUUUUAAAACAAUCAUGUACUAAGAUCUUUUGCCCUCCUUUGUCCUUUUGGUGUUUAAAAGCUCCUGUUGUGUUAUUGGAUGUAGCCUGUUACUCUUUGUAGAUGAUGAAGGUGUAGAAGCGUACUGCAUAUAAAAUGAAAACACUCACUGAGGCCAAAGUUAAUGUGUUUCAGAAGAUCUGAAAGGAUUUAGGAGGACAAGAUUUAUUAAAAGUCAGAAGUUCAUAGUGCUGGGCUACCCACAUAGAUGCCUUGUGUUAUUACAGCUUCACUUUUUGGUAGAGUAAGUUCUCAGCUACAAAACAUUUAUUUUAUUUACAAAAUAUUUUUCAACAUUACUAUCACCAUUAGCUAUGCAUUUUUACUAGCCAACAUAAAAUAGGAGACGUUACUUUCUGAACAGCUUUCAUAGCAUUUUUCACCCUUCUGUAACAAGAAUUCAAAGAGAAACAUCAACUUUAUUUCACGUACGCAUUAACCUUACACAGGGAGUAAUGGAAAACCAUGAAAAUCUUACUUUUGUCCUAACAUUUCCAGAAUUCUGUCUCAUUGAAACAUAGCUCAUACUUUUCUGAAAGCAAGACAACCUUUGUAGACAACAAAACAAGACUUCAGUUAAAAGCAAUUGAGACCUGUAUAUAACCAUGCCUAAGCUGCUGAAGUUUCCGCUGUAUUUUCUGCCAAAGUUCAUCUUCUGCCAUUCAGAGUAAUUCUUAUAGCACCUGCAAAAAAAAAUACUACAAGGACUGUUGCAGUCCCUUUACAGAAGUGAGCAAAACUCCUUUUAAGGACUAUGGGUCUUUUUCUACGUAUCUCUUUAUGUCCUCUUCAUCUACCUUCAUAUCUAUACCAAAUCAUAAGGUGUAUUAAAAAUAUAAUUUGGUAGGAAGUUUUUUUUACAUUGUUGAGAGCUGCAACAAGGUUAACAGGGAUGUUCUCAGGCCUAGGAUGAUCAAACACAAAACACAACUUUAACUAUCAAGAUUGAGCUGUGAAAUUAAUCUAAGUUCACUAUAUCACCAGCAGAUUUACAAACCAAGAAGUUAUAGCUUUCUUUCUUUCUUCCUCCCUCAUCUCCCUUUCAGAAUUACCAGUUAUCUCCAAAGAGAACACAGCUGAAUAAUGUGCUUCAGUUGGCCAACUCUAUUGCUUGCUGUUUAAAGCUCCUCUAGAACACAGAGAAGAGAUUGGCAUUCUACAUCUUGUAUGAGCUUCAAAAUCAUUCGCAGUCUUUCUUUUUCUGGUCUCUGCUUCAAAACUUCUUUUUCCUUCUUCUCACUCUUCCAUCUCUUUUCCAUCUUUGUGGUCAGCUUUAUUCCAAUGCUUUAAGUAGUUAAAGGUUUUUAAAGUGGACUUGGAAACUCCAAAUCUUGGUUACACUUGAAUAAGCAGAACCAGGGUCCAGUGUUUCCUGAUUACCUUAUAUGGCAGCACUGGAAAGCAGUCUCUCAGCUGUGCUGAAAAAAUGUAUCUAAGUUCAUUAUUACUCUAUUUUAAAUGUACAGUUUCUUCUAAUGAGUUGCUGAUAAAAUAGUUGAUGGACAAUUUAAUUGUAUAUAUUUCAGCAAAGCAUAAUACAACAAUCUGCCAUAAGAAAUAAAAUGUAACUUUUCCUCUGUUGGUUGCUUGUAUUUAUCAUACUUAGUAGGUGAAAUGUUCUAAAUCUUCUAAAUUACAAAUUAUCCAUAGUGCCAUCUUGGAUGAAAAAAGGAAAGCAGAGACUUCUUGUUCUAGUAAAUAACCAAAAAAGUAAAAUGUUUAUGACUUCUCCUUAGCAGUCUGGAAAGAGGAAGAAGGAGAGAGAGAAACACUAGUUUGUUUACUCAGGCUGCUAGAUGUCAUGACCCUGCUGUGUGCAGACUGUCCCUUCUUUCAGUUAGAAUGACUGGCAGUUGUGAACACAUGUCAUUCCAUGUCAGAAACCAUACAUGGGCACCCUGGCUAGAACUGCUUGCUGACACACAGAAAUUAUCCAAGGAUACAAUUUUAUUUAUCAUAGUAUGUGUUUCAUGGUAAAAAUGUGAAUAGUCUCCAGCCAAACAGAUGAGUAGCUGUUUUCUGGGAGAAUCAUCAUGCACCUGAGUAUUUUGAGUCUCUAGAUUUUUGCUCUUUAACUGAAAACCAAUCGUCAUAAUUAUUCAAUAUUGUAAAACAUCAAUGAAGUGAGUAGAAAUCAAAAUGCAUUUAGAAAUGAAUAUGUGAUUAUAAACAUAUUGUAUAAGCUUAGCUUCAGAGUGCCUUAGAGUAUGCAAUAGCAUGUAUUCAGAGUAAGCAAGACUGUGGGUGACAGGAUGCAAAAGCACCUGCAGGAUCAAGGUACUUCAGAACUAAAGCUUCCCAGAAGUAGGACUCCCUAAGCUGCAAAUCUCACACUUUGGCAUGGGUUUGGGGCCAGUUUGGCCCAGUUCCAUGACUAGUGCAGUGGAGGGACCCACUGACCCAUGCCCCAGGAUAGGGGGAAGAGAAAAAGGGGAAAAAGGUAGAGAGGAGGGCCUAAAAACAAAACGAAACAGUGGCAACAAGCUAAGGGAGAAAACUAAUUCACUAAAUAUGCCAGUGGAAUGUGAGAUAACACAAUGUAAUCUAAUAUAAUUGGAAUUGAAGCUAAUAAAUCAAAUAAAUGAGAAAGUGUCCAAAACUGAAGACUUUACUCUAGCACUGAAGGUGAGAUGGCUAGGAAGAAUACACUGCAGGGGCAAGCAGUAAAAGAAGGAACCAAUCUCAUGACUAGGGAGUUUUAUCUUUCCCUCUAAAUGGAAAAUGGAAACAGGAAAUGUAACAAUAAAAGUCUGCUGGUUUAUGUAGUUCUUCUCUUGUGAGAACCAGGUACCCAAAAAUACUGACAAUCCAUGCAACUGGAGCAUUAACUCUUUAACACCAAGUGCACUACAUGAUGUUAUGAUGUGGAAUACCAAUAACAGAAAUCAUAAAACCAUGACACAUUUUUAUUAUAUAGUAUGUACCGUAGUAGGGGAAGACGGUAUGAGAUAUUCUUUCUUUCUGCUUCUAUUGUUUUUGCUCCUUGCACUGUUUUAGACUACAUCAUUAAGAAUAUGAACACCUCUGUGUAUUUUGUAGAUGGCUGGUGAAUAACUGCUCACUGACUGGGGACUUGCAGAAAAGCAGGCUACAGGUAGAAAGUUUGCACCUCUUUAGCCAACCACUUUCACUAAUGCUUGGUAUGUUUAAAUCCUUUUACCAUAAGCUUGCUUGAGACAACCUUAAGUCUUCUUACUAAUCCCUCUGACAGAUCUUUUCUUUGACUGUCUAACCAAAGAACUCAAGUGUACUGUGCAAAUUAAAAAAUGAGGCAGGCUGAGGGAAGUAGGCUAGAAAGUCACCAAUGAAACACAGAGCCUCAAGAGACUUCCAUGUGUGAUGUUUCACAGGGGUAAUGGAAAUGGUUGUUUAAAACAUAAAAAUUGAGUUGGGUAAUGCAGCUCCAUGUGUCUUUACUCAAAUGCAGCUAUAGUACCAUUUGCUUACAAUACUCUUUCUGUAUUCUGGAAGAGAACUAAUUGGCUCCCAAUGAACUAAACUAUGUCCUCCUGUUCCAAAGUUAAUUUCCACCUCUCUUUUUAGUUGAACCACACAGAUUUGACCUUUUGAGAAGUUCUCACAUUCAGAGAGCUGAGAACCAUAUUAUUUUUAACAUACAAAAUUAGUGCCAUUAACAAAUAAAUUCCAGCACCUAUUCUGGCACCAUCAGAACAUUAAUUGCCUGUACCAAAAAUAUUUUUCAUUUGUAGCAACUAAGAAAAAUUCAUGCUAUAAGAAGUAAAUUAUUUAUGAUUUAUAAAGGGUGUGGUUUUGUCAUACCUGCUAGAAAGGUAAAGAAGAUAACUAAAGAAAGAAAGGCAUUAUUUAGAGUUACACAUUGUGAUCCAAGUGACAGAAAUAAUUGAACAUGGGCAGUAAAACUCUACAACUCCAAGAUGUCAAUUUCUCUCUUAUAGAACUGAAGGUGGACAAGGCUGAGCCACAAUUAGAUGAUACACAAUCUUAUAAAAUUGUCAAGACAAAUUCAGAAAAACUUGUUUUUAUAACUGAAAAAAAAUGUAUGGAAAAUCUUCAAACAAAAGACAGUCUAGAAUGUUAUUUCAAUAUUUAUGAACUCAUCUUUAAAGAAUCCAGCAAAAUACAAUGGGUUUCUGCAUUCUACCUUCUCAAAUGGUAAAAAUGAAAAUCUUAUCUAAAUGUAGACAAUAAAAUUAAAGUGAGAAAUGAAUUUGCUGAUAGCAUUAAAAACUGCCAAGAAUAUGAUAAUUUAGAACAAUAAAAAACAGUAACUCCAGCAGUGAGUGACCUUUGGAAGAUGGGUAUUAUUAGCCCUGCUCUAGAACUUAAGGAGUCAUCUGUAUUUUAUUUUAUCUUCUCAGAUACACCUGUUACACCAUUCUUGAUUUCUCUCAGACUUCUCACAGGUGCUUCAGUUUUUGUGUGUAAGACUUAGACCCUUUAACACUUGUGACUUGGCUUUCUCUCAAGACUGUAUCAAUAGCGAGUACAUUCAAUGAAUUUCACGAGGUUUUUUGGAUAUUUAAAUAUAUAUACAUAUAUAUUUUUUAUAUAAAUAUAUAUACAUAUAUCUUUACAUUCCAUCUUUUCUCCAAUUCUACUGACGUUUUCUAAGGACCAGGAAGAACACAGAGUUCUCUGAACACAGUACUUGAAGAAAGCUGUGAUAUUGUUCAAGUACCAUUUUAAAAGGUGGGUUUUUAAAAUUAAAAAUGGAAAAUGCUUCAGAAAUUUUCUGGAGAGACUGUAAUUGACAUGCUGGUUAAAUCUAAAUGUAGAAAAGGGCAACAGUGGGCAAUGAGGUUAAGUAGAGAUCUAAAGAUUAGUGGAAGCAAUAAACAGAAGGCUUUUAAAAAUGAAAAAAAAUACAGAGAGUCCGGGAAGGAGAAAGAUUUAAGUGCUGUAAAGUACACAGAACAAAAAGCUGUAUUCCAACUUGAGCUACAGAUAGUGUUUCAGCACAUGCUCAUAAUUCAUCAGAAUACCCAUUUUAAAAUAAAUAACAAUAAAAGGCUUAAAGACUAUCGGCCUACUAGAAGAAAUAAAUACAGUCAUAUUCAUAAAAUGGUGUACUAUGUAAAGUCAUUUUCAUAUGUAAAAGAAUAAAUAUAGUCAGCAGUAGAAAGUUCAAAAUCAUCUAGAUCAGUUAAAGAUCUACAGGUAAAUAUAACACAUAAUAAUAAUACAGAAAUCACAGUAGAAAAUACUAUUUUAAAAGGGUUUAAAUUAGGUUUAUGUUUAGAUACUUGAUAUUAAACAGAAGAUUUAUGUGGAGGAGAAUGGGGACAUUGAAGAGGUUUAGUUUUUUGGGUUUUUUUUCAAGUUUUUUCUCUUUUAUCACAAUUUUGAGAAAUUUUUGAUUUAACAAAUUCAUCUUUACAGAAGUAUAGUUUAUUCAAAAUGAAAAACAUUUAAAAUAUACUUUUGUUUCAGAGUGAAUUUCUUUACAGAAUUCAGUUUCAUGAAUUGAUAGUCUUCUCUAUGGCUUCUAAAUAUUGUCUCUUUCAUAGCAGUGUACGAAGUGGUUUUAUUCAUACAGUGAAAUAUAAGAAAAUGAGAACAGAGAAGAAUGGGAUUAUUUAUCUGCUCUCAGACUGUGCUAAAUGACAUUCAUGCUGAAUAUCUAGAAGGGAUUAGUGGGUUCAUUUUUAAGAAAGCAAGGCAAACUUUCCUUAGUAGAAAAAAAUAUUUCAUGCUGUUUUUUACACGUGUUCCAUUUUGAAAAUAAGACAAGUUAUUUUUACUAGUACGAGCAGGAAGCACAUUUCUGAAUUUCACAAACAAUAAAGGUUAAGAAAAGCAGUCUUGCUGAGCAUCACACACCACUUCCAAGGCAGUUCCAAAUCUAUGACCUUAGAUUAUAAGCUUAUGCCCUACUUCACAACGUAUCCCUUCCUAAUACAUAGAAGAGUGUCUAGAUGGUAAGAGCUUGACGAUCUAUCUUUAUCUGCACACACAGACACACACACACACAGACAAGUGGAGGAAAUUUUACUGGUAUUUGGAGAUGUAUAUGUAACUGACUGUAACUAAGUGUUUUUCGAACAUAUAACUGAACAUGGACACAAUUUUUUCUUCUAAAACCGAAGUCACUAAGAGAAGUAAACCGAGCUCUUCAUUUUAGAGAUAAAAGCUAAUGCUUAAUUUAAAUCAUAGUAGAUACAUUUAAGAGUAUCUUUAAAAGAAUCUUUUUUUUUUUUUUUUACCUAUUUUUAUUUAAUAAAUCAAGGAAGAAAAGACAUCUUUCUAGCAUGAAAAUUAACAUUCAGCUUGAUAGACUAAAAUAAAUCAAAACCAUUCACAGCAGUACUUUCUGAUACUGAUGACCGACAUGAAAUUUCUUACCCUUUAACUAUUUCUGCAGCUUGUGAAGAGAAGUCUUUUUGUUUGGCUUAAGCUAGGGACCAAAUUCAAGUGAAAGUCCUCUGUAGUUCUACAGUUGCUUCAUGCAGGUACAAGAGCAUGUACUGAAAAUGAAUCAGGUUGUCAAUGCCCCUAUCUGAGGAGAGACACAAAAGACCCUCUCCUCUUUGCCAUUUUACAUUCAGUGGAGCUCUGCUCAGAAGGGCUGAAAACUUACAAUGCCGACAUGUCAGCUACAGACUCCUUUCUUUUAGCCACUUGCCCUACUUCCUUUACUUUAAUAUAUUUUCACACUAACUCUCAGAGGUCCAUGCAAAAUUUGUGAAAUUGCCUAGUUUUGUGCUGGCCCUGAGAGCAUAAUAUCAAUAUUUAAUUUCCCCAAAUCAAUUCAUUUCUCUAUGUUAGGCAGCACAGUGUUUGAUAUCGCUUCAUUCAAGUUUAAAAGACAAUUCUUGUAUCAUUUUUUUCAGUUCAGUGAAGGUUAUAUAAGAGGGUAAAAAAUGAGCCAAAGAACACAGCUUUGGUCAAAAGUAAAAACUUGAAAAACAUAGGUUCCUAUGUAGCAGGAAAGAAUCUUGCAGUAGUCAAGAAUAGGAAUCUAAAUGACAGAGAGAAAAGGAUCAUAUUCCAAAGGGAUAAAGAGACAUAGGAAGAAGGGAAAACAGUAAGUGUAAAGAAUUCAGAGGCAUUAGCAAAAAGCAUUUUACAGUUUAGGCAAAUACAUUUGUCCUUCUUUCAAAGGCAGAAUAUGAGAGUGAAUAAACAUAACUGUGUAAACACAUUUCUCUAUGUUACUGCAAAGAUUCCAUCUACAUUAAAGCAAUGGGACCACCUCACAAAUGUGUAAUAGACAUACCUAAACAAAGUAUACAUUCUUUAUUAUUUUCCCGUACAAUGAUACAAGAAAAAAAAAAAAAAGACUGAUUUUGAGUUGGAAAUGGAAAGAAUCCUGACCCUGCAACUGAUGGAGACUUUGACCUAAUCUCCUCUGAAAAGUCAAACGUAGCCUGUCCAAUAAGGAAGGGCCUAAGACAGAACUAUAAGGAAAACUGAAUGUCUGAAUAAAUUAUUUUAUUAUGCCAACUUCAAUAGGUCUUCUCAAAAAAAGUGGAGAACAUACAUAGGUCACUCUGAAAGUAAUGCCUCCUAUUUAUUUCCAUGAAAAAUUCACCACCUGCAAACAGCACAAUAGCACUAUUUGAUAGAGAAUAUUCUCAGCCACAAAACAUUUAUUUUCAGUGUAGUAGCAACCAUUAAUUGCACAUUUUUGACACUGAUGAACAAGUGCCUGCAUGCCUUUCUCAUAAGACGUGGUUUAUCUUUCACGUCACUGUUGCCACUGCUGUAACACACCAUCCUCCACCUUAGUGUGCUCACACCCACUGUAUGGUCUCUACGAACUUGCAGCAAGUGUCAAUGAAUGUCAAUGGGUACAAUUUUUCUAUGCAUGGAGGAAUUCAAUUGCACAUAUUUACUUCUAUGUCAAAUGCCAUUUUCUCAGACUGUCCCUCUUCUUUCAUCUGUCACAGAGCAACAAAAUAUAAUGAAAUUUUGGUGGGAAUGUCCAGCUCCUGCUGCCGUGCCACGAACACCUGCUUCUGACAUUGUAGGCCAACAUAAUAAAACAGGAGGCAUUACUUCUGGAGCAGCCCUUGUUCUAUAGAAAAAGUGAAUUUGAAACAGCUUUCCAGCUCCAGAUAGAUGUGCCUACUGGAAACAAUUAUCAGUUUCAUGUGUCCAUUAUAAAACUCAAAAUCUUAAGCUGAUUAUACUAGAUGUUAUUAAGACUUCUAGUCUUUUAUUAUCUGUAAAUACAGAAAGACUUCAGCACAGAAAAAGAGCUGCUAGGUUGAUUUAGUCAUCUGUCUGUGAUCAUUAGUUCUGAAAUUAUUAGAAUGAGUACAUUCUGGCAUUACUUUGAGAUAACAUAAAUCUUUCCAUCUCAGGUAAACUGUGAGGAUCUGAGGAUCUUCCAAAGUGCAGAAGGAAAAAAAUCCUGUGAGUAAAGUAUUUUUUCCAAAGUGUUAUUCGAGAAAUUAAGACGCUAAUAAAGAAGACUUCUUAAUAUAUCAACGUUAAUAUGAUGUGUGUAGGUAGAUUCUGAUGAGCAUGUGACACAUAAAUGCACAUCUAUGCAUGCAAGAAGUCUUACAGUAGUUAAAUAUGUCCUCACAUAUCCUUCUUCAAACUUUACUCUCUUUUUUUCCAGAUUAAGCUUUUCAAACAAUGUGUGUCUGUCUUUGACACUCUGAGUUCACCAACAUAACAAAGCUUUGAAUAUUUCAUAACUGAAAACAAAUGACAUGUUGUUAGCUUGAAUAUAAUCAUUAAUUUAUGUGUAUAUUUAACCUUAAGUUUACUGAGAAAGGGUGGAUUUCUAUAUUUAUGUUGUACUGUAAAACCUUUUCAAAAGCUUUUCGAGAUCAUACAUUACAGCUAAAAGUGGCCAUGGGCCUGUCAUGGGCCUUACUUAGAACAACAGUUUGAAAACAAUAGCUAAGAAAGAGCAAUUUAGAUUUUUGUAGGUUUUGAUUUUAAUGUGUAAUUUCUAAUAUAUUUGAAUCUUUUUAUUUUUGCAAUUAUAUUGAAAGAUAUCAAAUAAUAUUAUUCGUCAGUGGAUUUUACUUUUAUUAUAAAACAUUUUAAACAUACUUUUAACAAAUAAAUCCACACAGGAAUACAUGUAUCAUCUCUGCUAUGGGCCUUCCAUCUAACCUUAGAGGUAAAAUCCAACUGCGAACAGGAAGAUUUCAUUAUCGUUAUAUACGUUUAAUACAUUGUAUACAUUAAAGAGCCGUAACUGAUAGAGUCCUUCCAUGCUACUUACUGCAUUUCAGCUCUUCUCUGGGAAAACAGCAAUCAUACAGAUGUGUUUCAUUUGUACUUCUUGAUUUCUGGAAUAAUUAAAAACACGUCAAGUAAUAUCAGUAAAAUACCCUUUUAAAAAAAGACAUUGUUUGCUGUUGAUACAACAAAUUCCAUAUGCAUUCCACACAAACAAAUUC
ensembl:lncRNA